UUCGAAUUCUUUCGAAAAAUCUGGAAUAUAUUUUUACUUGUGUAGUAUAGUACACUCACUCAAUUGCAUGCAUGGAAAAAUAGAAUGAAACUACCACUAUAGCAUCCGGAUAUUGCGUAUAUAUCGAAGAUUAGAAAACUUUGGAGAAGAAUGGAAAUUUCGCAAAAAUUAAAAUUACGCCAUAGAAUAUAACAUAUAGAUCAAACUACAUCUAACACUCAGAAAUCAGAUAGGGUUUCAAGUCACUGGAACAAUCAUCGUUCUCAGAAGGUAGGAUGAACCUGUAUUAUCCGUUUCAGGGAAAAAAGAUCUUGAAUAUAAGUUGGAAAGGAACUUUCU